AGGGCGCAGGGUGGAUGCCAUGGCACUGGACGCCGAAGAAAGACGUGGUAAGCUGCGAAAAGCCACGGGGAGCCGCAAGCAGGCUUUGAUCCGUGGAUGUCUGAAUGGGGAAACCCGGCGGAAGUAAUGUUCCGUCAUCCGUGAAUGAAUCCAUAGUUCACGAGAAGGGCACCCGGGGAACUGAAACAUCUAAGUACCCGGAGGAAAAGAAAGAAACAUCGAUUUCGUCAGUAGCGGCGAGCGAAAGCGAAGGAGCCCAAACCAUCCGACUACGGUUGGGUGGGGUUGUGGGUCAGCGACAUGUACGAUGAUGCUUAGGAGAAGAGUUCUGGAAAGGACUUCCAAAGAGGGUAAGAGGCCCGUAUCCGAAAAGUUGAAUCGGCUAGCUGAUACCAGAGUACCACAGGACACGAGGAAUCCGGUGGGAAGCAGGAGGGACCACCCUCCAAGGCUAAAUACGAUCCAGUGACCGAUAGCGCAUAGUACCGUGAGGGAAAGGUGAAAAGAACCCCGGGAGGGGAGUGAAAAAGAACCUGAAACCCUGUGCUUACAAGCAGAGAGAGCACGAUUAAGUGUGAUCUCGUACUUUUUGUAGAACGGACCGGCGAGUUACGUUAUGCAGCGAGGUUAAGGACUGAAGGUCCGGAGCCGAAGCGAAAGCGAGUCUGAAUAGGGCGCAUAGUUGCAUGACGUAGACCCGAAACCGGGUGACCUAUCCAUGGGCAGGUUGAAGUGGAAGUAAAAUUUCAUGGAGGACCGAACCAGACGUCUGUUGAAAAAGGCGGGGAUGACCUGUGGAUAGCGGAGAAAUUCCAAUCGAACCCGGAGAUAGCUGGUUCUCCUCGAAAUAGCUUUAGGGCUAGCCUCGCAUUAGUUUACCGGAGGUAGAGCACUGAAUGGUCUAGGGGGCCUCACCGCCUACCGAAACCUAUCAAACUGCGAAUGCCGGAUAAAUGAUGUGCGGGAGUCAGGCCGCGAGAGAUAAGUUCCGCGGUCAAAAGGGGAACACCCCAGAUCGUCUGCUAAGGUCCCUAAGUACGCGUUAAGUGGGAAAGGAUGUUGGAUUGCACAGACAACCAGGAUGUUGGCUUAGAAGCAGCCACACAUUCAAAGAGUGCGUAAUAGCUCACUGGUCGAGUGAUCCAGCGCCGAAAAUGUAACGGGGCUAAAACGCGACACCGAAGCAGCGGGAUGCGUAAGCAUCGGUAGAGGAGCAUUGUGUGAGGGUUGAAGCCAGAGCGGGAGCACUGGUGGACUUCACAGAAGAGAGAAUGCCGGUAUGAGUAGCGAGACCCAUGCGAGAAACAUGGGCGUCGAAGGCCCAAGGUUUCCUGGGGAAGGUUCAUCCACCCAGGGUAAGUCGGGACCUAAGCCGAGGACUGAGGUCGUAGGCGAUGGACAGCAGGUAGAGAUUCCUGCACCACUUAUACUUGUUUGACGAAGCAGUGACACAGAAGGAUAGGACGAGCGCGGUGAUGGUCAACCGCGUAGGCGGCACGAGGCCGGGAAGCAGUGAAGUACACUUCCCGCAAAGGCUGAGUGUUGACAGGACCGAAAAGAAGUAGGGAAGCGUCCGAGUUCACGCUGGCGAGAAAAGCUGCUAAGGAGAGUGUGAGUGCCCGUACCGGAAACCGACGCAGGUGGGCGAGGAGAGAAUCCUGAGACGGACGGGAGAACUAUUGUUAAGGAACUCGGCAAAAUGACCCCGUAACUUCGGGAGAAGGGGUGCCUCGAAAGAGGCCGCAGAGAAUAGUCACAAGCGACUGUUUAGCAAAAACACAGGUAUCUGCGAAAGCGAGAGCUGACGUAUAGGUGCUGACGCCUGCCCGGUGCUGGAAGGUUAAGGGGAAGUGUUAGGGGAAACCCGAAGCAGAGAACCGAAGCCCCAGUAAACGGCGGCCGUAACUAUAACGGUCCUAAGGUAGCGAAAUUCCUUGUCGGGUAAGUUCCGACCCGCACGAAUGGCGUAACGACUUGUGAGCUGUCUCAACAGGAGGCCCGGUGAAAUUGAAGUAUGUGUGAAGAUGCACAUUACCCGCGACUGGACGGAAAGACCCCGUAGAGCUUUACUGUAACCUGACAUUGGAUCUUGAUAACGGAUGCACAGGAUAGGUGGGACGCUGGGAGACGAGGACUUUGGUUUUCGUGGAGCGGCCGUUGGGAUACCACUCUUCUGUUAUUGAGAUUCUAACCUCAAGCC
rnacentral:rRNA from 1 species